ensembl:lncRNA
AUUUGGAAGAUUUGCAAGUCUUUGACUAAUCAUUUGACUUUAAAUGUGUAUGGUAGGCUAGGCUCAGAAAGAUAAUAUGCUUUAUACUGCUAUUAAUGAAGAGUGGCAUCAGUUGAGUGUUACUUCCUACGUGUUUCUUCUGAAUGUAUUUUCUGUGUUCAAUCCCUGCAGUUAAUCUAGGAAUGAAGGUGCUGUUAAUAUGCAUUCAGGUUAGCUAGUGUCAGUUUGACAAUUUUGAUUAAAAUAUUUAAAAUAGUGUGAUACCCCGUAAUGUUACUAAUAAUUUCUUCACAGAGCUUUUUGGGCCAGAUCUUGGGGGCUACAGAAGAAUAUAUGUUAUGGGGUUAUAAUUUGGUUAAGUCCUUUUCUUCAAAAAUUUUCACUUUUAAAUUGUGAAGGUGAAAUAUUUAGUAUGAUUAUUAAGCUCAGUCAUUUCUUCUUUUUGUAUUUGAACUUCUUGAUAAAGUUAAGAUUUUGUAAUAGGUAUUAUUGUUGCAAGAAAAGCACAGAAUUCUGCUUGUGUUUGAGGGUUAGAGAAGGAAUUGACAUAUUUUGAGGUAAUGUAGAAGGACCUUCAGUGUUGGAGAUAGAAACCUAAUUGUUUUAGAAGAUAAAGUCAUUACAUCUAUUUAGCUACUAUAGCUAUUCUUAACUAUUGUUUCUAAGAUUAUUUUGUAUAAGCCUGCUAGUUUUAGUAUGUGUGUAGUGUCACUUCUUAUGUUUGGUAUAAUAGCAUUUGACACACAUGAAUUGUAUGGGUUUGUAGGAUCUCUUUUAAAUUAUUUUAAUGAGAUAAUUUUGUGUAUCAUUAUGGGAUACAGUGUGGUAUUUUAUUACAUUUACACAUUGUGAAAUGAUCAACUCAGGAUGCUUAGGUUAUCUAUCAUCUCAAUCAUUUAUCAUUUCUUAGUGAUGAGAACAUUCAGAGUCCUGUCUUGUAGCCACGUUGAGGUACUCUCUUCAGUGUUGUUGACUGUAAUAAUCAGUCUGUGUAAUAGAAUGCCAGAAUUAUUCCUCCCAUCUGGUUGUGACUUUGACUUUGUACAUGUUGACCAGUCUGCCCCUUCACACACACAUUCCAAGCUAGGGUAUGUUCUAAACUGAAUAUAGACCAAAAUAAAGAACAAAGUGGUAUUUUCCAAAUAAAUAUGGUUUCUCUUCCCUCUUUUUUCUUGCUUUCUACCCCAUUUAAUGUAAUGGUUUUUAAAUGCUUUUAUAGAGUAAUUCUUAAUACAAAAAAUAUUAUAAUUAGGCAAGCCACUGAGUGAGCAUACCAGCUAAAAUCACUGUAAUAUAGGACACAAAAAUUUGAAUUUUCAAAAGAAAUUCUCUGAAAAAAUAUUCCUUUAUAUAAAAAGUUCUGUCUUGUAGUGCAUUUGAAGUUUAAAAUCACUCACAUAUUAUUACUGUUUUAGGCAGGUGGACAUGUGUAGUAUCUAACACAUGGCCCAGUAAAUGGUUAUUACUUUGAAGUUAGCUUUUCUGCUUUUUUUUAAUCACCAGGAGUAAAGAUCAUAGAAAAAUUAAUGUUAAUUAUUUUUAAUUUAUCACAACUAUUUCAACAGGUGUUUAUUCAUACCUAUUAUGAGCAAGUCACUGUUUUAGGCAUUAAAAAUAACAUCCUUAGAGCCAAGUCAUUUUGCUUCCAAGUGGCCUCAUUACUUGUGAAGACUGAGUUCACAGGAAGGCACAGGAUAAGAGUGGGAAGAUGGAGAAGACAUUGAAUAUGAAGUAUGGAUGUGUAAUUAAAAAUAUGGAAUAAAAAUGGAGCUUUUAAACA